AGAGUUUGAUUAUGGCUCAGAUUGAACGCUGGCAGGAUGCUUUACACAUGCAAGUCGAACGGCAGCACGAGCUUCGGUCUGGUGGCGAGUGGCGAACGGGUGAGUAAUGUAUCGGAACGUGCCUAGUAGCGGGGGAUAACUACGCGAAAGCGUAGCUAAUACCGCAUACGCCCUUCGGGGGAAAGCGGGGGACCUUCGGGCCUCGCACUAUUAGAGCGGCCGAUAUCGGAUUAGCUAGUUGGUGGGGUAACGGCUCACCAAGGCGACGAUCCGUAGCUGGUUUGAGCGGACGACCAGCCACACACUGGGACUGGAGACACGGCCCAGACUCCUACGGGAGGCAGCAGUGGGGUACACACUGGACAAUGGGGGAAACCCUGAUCCAGCCAUCCCGCGUGUGCGAUGAAGGCCUUCGGGUUGUAAAGCACUUUUGGCAGGAAAAACGGCCUGGAAAUAAUACCCCGUGCAACUGACGGUACCUGCAAGAAUAAGCACCGGCUAACUACGUGCCAGCAGCCGCGGUAAUACGUAGGGUGCAAGCGUUAAUCGGAAUUACUGGGCGUAAAGCGUGCGCAGGCGGUUCCGGAAAGAAGAUGUGAAAUCCCAGAGCUUAACUUUGGAACUGCAUUUUUAACUUUACCGAGCUAGAGUGUGUCAGAGGGAGGUGGAAUUCCGCGUGUAGCAGUGAAAUGCGUAGAUAUGCGGAGGAACACCGAUGGCGAAGGCAGCCUCCUGGGAUAACGACGCUCAUGCACACAGCGUGGGGAGCAAGCGGGUUAGAUACCCUGUUGUCCACGCCUAAACGAUGUCAACUAGCUGUUGGGGCCUUCGGGCCGCUGGUAGCGCAGCUAACGCGUGAAGUUGACCGCCUGGGAGUACGGUCGCAAGAUUAAAACUCAAAGGAAUUGACGGGGACCCGCACAAGCGGUGGAUGAUGUGGAUUAAUUCGAUGCAACGCGAAAAAGAACCUUACCUACCCUUGACAUGCCUGGAAUCGAAGAGAUUUGGGAGUGCUCGCAAGAGAACCGGAACACAGGUGCUGCAUGGCUGUCGUCAGCUCGUGUCGUGAGAUGUUGGGUUAAGUCCCGCAACGAGCGCAACCCUUGUCAUUAGUUGCUACGAAAGGGGCACUCUAAUGAGACUGCCGGUGACAAACCGGAGGAAGGUGGGGAUGACGUCAAGUCCUCAUGGCCCUUAUGGGUAGGGCUUCACACGUCAUACAAUGGUCGGGACAGAGGGUCGCCAACCCGCGAGGGGAGCCAAUCCCAGAAACCCGAUCGUAGUCCGGAUCGCAGUCUGCAACUCGACUGCGUGAAGUCAGAAUCGCUAGUAAUCGCGGAUCAGCAUGUCGCGGUGAAUACGUUCCCGGGUCUUGUACACACCGCCCGUCACACCAUGGGAGUGGGUUUACCAGAAGUAGUUAGCCUAACCGUAAGGAGGGCGAUUACCACGGUAGGAUUCAUGACUGGGGUGAAGUCGUAACAAGGUAG
rnacentral:rRNA from 1 species